GUCUCUUUACCUCUUAAUAGGACCACUUACAGCAAAAUUAUGACAUAUGUGUGCAAAAAAAGUACUGGAUUUAGGAUUUGAGAAAUUAAGAAAAACAAUUGAUAAUAUAAAUCUAAAAGUGUAGAACAUUGUUAAUUUCUUAAAUAGCUAUUAGCGAACAAUGACAUAUGAUGUUCAUUAAUCAGAGAGGAUAAAUAGUUUUGUCGCGCAGACUUUGGCUCAUCAAUCAAUUGAUCUAUUGGCGCAGUGCUUGAAACGUGCUAGCAUCAGAUGAUGAGAAGCAUUCAGCACCACAAUGUUUUUCCCAAUGGGUAAGUCGAUUAUGAAUGUAUACAUGUUGCAAUGUAUGUACGUAUGGGCACAUAUAUACAUUAGAAAAUACUAUGAACCAACUUCUCAAGUCGUAAUAGACUAAACGUAUAUGUAUGACUGACAAUUUAUACGUAUACAAACACAAACUAUCGAGAAACUGACGUCGUUAGAUUGAUAACACUUGGAAAGGAAUAAAUUAGGUUUCCUUAGAUUAUGGUUUUUUUCAUUAGUUAAAUCCAUCAAGCACAAAGUAUGGAAACUCAGAGGGAGUUACAAUUCUGAUUUAUGAUAAAUCAUGGUAAAUAACCAUUGUGUGCUAAGGUCAAAGAACAUUUGGUGCAUUUGCUUUGAAAGGUUAACUAAUUUAUAGGAAUAUUCGUUAAUCGAUAUUUAUUUAUAUAGAGCAUUUUUUAGUCGAUAAUUUUCUAAAUUUUUCCUUCAAAUAGUGUUAUGUUUAUGAACAUAAGUAAACAUAUUUAUAAAACAAUACUGUGUAUAAAUUCUAAAUUGCGAUUCAUAGUUUAGAUUAUCGCAAUAAUAACUAAUAACCAUUAUAUAGCUAAAUAUCACAUCUGCAAUUUGAUAAUAUCUACAUGAAAAAAUAUUUAAUAUUUAUAAUAUAUAUUAUUUAUUUAUGUAAUACAGUUUUCAUCUUCUGUUUAUUUUAAUGAAGUUUUCAUCUUCUUUUUGUUCAGCCUCUUGUCAUCUCCCUACCUAUUAGGACCACUUACAGCAUAUAUGAGUCAAUUGUGAGGUAUAUUAAGAAAUGAGCUGUUAAAAGAACAUAAAAGUGUAGAACAUUGUUCUUUUUUUUUUAAACACUUGUGGAACAUUGUUCAUUUCCUGAAAACUGUUACCUGUUUGUUAGCCAACAAUGGCCACCGAUGAUCAUUGAUGAAAGAAUUUUUCGUGCAGGACUUGGCUCACAAGACAACCGAUCUUGUGGCGAGGUGUUUGAUUAACCUGCUAUAGUCGAGCAUCAGAUGAUCUGAAGCAUUCUACGUCUUUCCUUAUUUGUAAGUAAAUUUAUGGACUUUAUACAUAGUUUAUGCAUGUAUGUACGUAUGUAACAUAUACAUUAGAACAAACUACUAAGUUUUCAGUCGUAGUAAGCUAACAGUAUUUUAUGAUUGUUAUUCAUAACCACAUUGAUGACUAGCUAGCUACAAAUUUCAUCGGAAAGAAACUCGGGUUAGGCAAUGUUGUAACCAGUCCACUCUGUAGCACUAAGUGCGUUCCUUCCGAGACCGGAUCAGCCGAUAUGAUUUAUCAAAAAAAAAAAAAAAAUUCAUCGGAAAGUACAGAAACUACAGAUAUGAACUGACCGUUACUUGGAUAUUAGUAGAACAAAAUUAGUAAAUUUGGUUUCGUUGGAUUCUAUUCCUUACUUAGUUAUGUUGAACGAGAACUAAGUAAGUAUUUAAAAUUAUAACAAAGAGGAUGAGCGUAUGAGAAACAGUUUGCUCAAUAACUCUGUUCAUUUUGGUCUCACCAAUGCAACAUGUUAUGUUUCACAUCUCAUUCUAUGCCAGUAAUACUUUUCAUAUCUUCAUUUUUCUUAUUGUUUCUUUUAUACCGAACAAAUGGACUUUAAUUUUUGAUUAAAAAGUAUAGCAGUUAUACGGUUAUCACACUUUCAAAUACUUUACGUAGUAUAGCCAUUUUCGAUUUUGACGCCACCUAGGCUAUUUGUUUAAACUUUAAACCUUGAGUUUGAAGAGAAAAUGUUGUUUUGAGUAACUUAUCCAGUAAUUCCGACAAAACAGUGUCUUUCCUCGAAAAUCCAAUCAUGUGAUAUUUCUUUAUGUUCUAUUUUCUUAAUCGAUUAGCGUGUUAACAGAUAAAUAUAUUCUGAUUAAUAUAGAAUAGAGUUAGAUGUGUAUGAUAUAUGAGUGAGAUUGUGAGACCCUCUUAGCUCUUCUCCUGCUUAAUUUGUGGGUCUCAUUUACUGUGGAUAAGUGCGUACACAGUAAAAAGGAAAAGAAAAUUACUUAUUGUGUUAUUUAUUUGUCGGAACUUUCAUUAUGAUCAUGAUCAUGGACAUCGUUUUAGCUGGCAUAUGAUAGUAGUUAUUGAUUCAAUUUUUCGUUUACGAGAAAUAAUUUAUAAAUUAUACAUUUUUUUUACCUAUGACUAUUUUUGAAGUUAGAGAGGGCAGAAAAAUAUUAUUAGUGGUCAAAUAUAUUAAAUCAUGAUAAAUUACAUCAAGUUAGAUAUAUAAUUUCAGAGCGAAAGUAAUAGUAUACUAGAUUUUGACCCGGAUUUUAUGGAUUAUAUACGAAGUUGGAUAUGAGAUAGUAUUUUGAGUAUAUUGUGUAUUAUUAUGUUAUAAAGUUGUAUUAUAUCGAAUACAUAAAUUUGUUUAAAAUUAUAUAACUUGUGAAUAAAUUUAUUCGAGAUUUUUUUUUUUUUUUAACGUCUUAACUUUAUUGAUAUCAAAUCAAUGUAACAUGUUACUUUGAGAAUAACUGGAAUUUUUUUUCGUCGCUCUGAGUGCGAUCAACUUCACGAACAGACACAAGGCUUCCUCAACUGCUUCUUUGGUGUUCUUCCGGCGGUUUUAACCGCCGGAUUCUCUUGUUUUCCUGUUCCUAUGUUUUCUACACGCACAUCUUUGAUGGUUUUGUGCCCAUCUUUGUUGUCUAGGUUGAAAUUCUUCACUCGACAUCAAAUCCUCCUUUCAUUAUUUUCGAAUCAUGGUGAGGCUGAUCGGUUCGUAUAUCCGGUAGCGACAUCUACACUGGUUUUUCUCCUAUUGUUAUCGACUAUGAUCCACGUCAAAGUUGGCGUUGUUGUUUUCUCCCCUUGGGAAUGUUCUUGUCCGACCUUUGGGUGCGGUUUUCUUAUUACUCUCGAGUUAUCGAUUGAGAAUCAUUGGAUUAAAUUUGUAAUCUGGUAUUGGAAACCGCCAUGGUCAAAUAAGAGAAAGUGUAGGUCGUGCAUCAUUUGGAUAUUGAAGAGACGAUUGGGACAAUCAUCUCCUAAACAUCUUGUCUAUUCAUGUGAUAGGGUGAUUGUCAUGUUAAUGAUUCUGGAGAAUCACCGAGUGGGAAUUCUUCGGAGUUCUAUAAUGGUGGUGAUCGACGAGGAGUCCAAAGAUGUUUUUACAACAAAACAAAUUGAAGAUAUGGCUUUAUUGGUUUCAAAGCAAAAGAAUUUCAAUGCCAUGGAUAGUUAUAACAAAGCAUGUUAUCUCCUGCAGCGGGAGUGUUUGGAACGGAUUGCGAUGUAACAGAUGGAUCGCAUCCAGUGAUCUUUUUAGAGAAAAACUCAUAAAAAUUGAGAGCCAGAAGAAAGAUCUUAUAAGACCAAGAACGAAGCGGAAGAAAGCUAGCGAGUCAGCCUGACCUACGAAUGCGCUAGGAAACAUCGUGUUACUGCUAUCUCUGUUAAAAGUUUUUAUUAACAACAUGUUUUAUGUAAUUUUUUUUUAUUCGAGAUUUUUUAUAUACACUCUUAUGUAACUAUUUCUUAAGUAUGAAAAUUUUACCUAAAUUUGAUAAACAAACCAAACCAAUACGAAAUACAGGUUGAGGUUCGGGAUUGGGAAAAAAUACCUAUUAGAUUUUUUUGGACAUGCGGGUCUCUGUUGGACUCCGAGUACCCAAAGUACCUAGAAUUUUUUGUUCAUAUUAUAUAUAUUUGAGUAAUUUAUAUAUGUUCUGAGUAUAAAAAUAUUAUUGUAAAUUUUGGAUUCGUGUUUUCUGUUAUAAUUUCAGGUUUUGGGUAAAAUUUCAAAUUUUAAAAAUAUAUUUAAAAUAUUAGAUAUUUUUGGUUCUUGGGUAAGAUUUUGGUAUUUUAGAUAUUUAGUUAUUUCUGGUAUUUGUUUGAUUUUGGGUAUUUUCGUGUUUUGAUUUUUUUUGGCUUUUCAGAUUCUUUAGAUAUUUUUGUCCUAAAUAAUCGAACCGAGUUAGACUCAUUACGUAGCCAAAUUACAUAGUAAAUUUUACAGAUACUUGAAUUAUUGACUCAAACUGACCUGGUACUAAAAGGAACCGAUCUGAACAAAAACAAAAUUUCAAAUACCUAGUUGGAUAUAAAUGCCCAAGACCCAAAGAACUUGGACCUGAAAGAAACCGAUUUAUAUUUGACCCGAAGACCCGAAUGGCCAAAUCUAACCUUUCAUUAUAUUUUUGUGCAUUUUAUAAAAGUUAAUUUUGUUCAGUUGGUGAAACUUAAGAUUUAUUUGAGAGGUUUUUGGCUAAUUUAAUAGUAUAGAUUUAGAGGUUUUUUGUUGAGCAGUAAAAAAAAAGAUUUGUUGGGGUUUUGAUAAUUUUAAACUUAUCUUAAAUACUAAAUUGUUAUUUAUGAAUAAAAUAAAAUUAAAAUAAUAGAUAAUUUUUAAAUUUAUCUUAAUUAUGAAGUUAAUGAGACAUAUUUAGAGAAGAGUAUAUAAUAAAGUGUAUGUAAUAUUAUAUUUUCGUGAACCAAAUUUAUGUGGUCGUAUAUAUAUGGUAUAAUCUUUUCGUUUACAAAAAGAUAUGAGUCCAAUAAAUAAAAGCUGUGACUAAAUGACUGUUAGAGAAAUUUAAGAUAACAUAUUGUUUGUCCAAAUCAAAGUAAAACCAAACUAUUAUUAGUUAAUGAAAUGGUCCAAACAACAUUUUUUAAGUAGAUUUAUUUAAAUUUUUUCUCUUUUAAUAGUAUUGAUUUCUUAUGUCCACCUUAUCAACAUGUGUACAUAUCGUAUAGACCAGGACGCAUAUGAUCCUAGAUUGGUUCCAAUCCUGAUCGAACACAAUUCAUCUAAAUUUUCAUGAUCCAAGUACUUUCCACGAUUUUUUUUCCAUAUAUGUAGCACUUAUUGCAACCAGUUAUCUUGGCAUUCAUCUCAUAAUUUUUUUCCAUGGUUCCAUCUCGUCAUACAUUGAUUUACAUCGCUUUUCUCAUAUAUAGCUGAUGCAACCAGUUAUCUGUGUAUGAUAGUGAUGUUUUCUUUUUAAAAAUGUUUUGCAGGAGGAGUUGAUUGUAAGGAAGUGAACUGGAGAAGAAGUUAGAUGUGAUAUGAUUGAUUUUAUAUGCUUCGGAGCUGAUAUAUUUAUACAAUACUGGUGAAUUUGAUUUGUGAGAACAGUAUGAACUAGAGAAGAAGUGUCCGGCUAACAUAUUUCAAAAACCCUCGAGGGUUUUAAAGGUGUUUGUGUUGUUGGCUGUUUUUCGUUUAGAACCAAUAAUUAGUAAAGUUUUUAGUGGUUGGGUCCACUCUUUACAUGGGAUAUUGAGUUAAUUGUCUUUUAGGUUAUUGUUAUAAAUUAAGCAUUGAAAUGAUCAUCCACUUCUUUAUCAAACUCAAGCACUAUGAUCAUCCACUCCUUUACCAACUCAAGCACUA
rnacentral:lncRNA from 1 species